UCGGACGUGGUGCACGGUGCACGUCCCCACAUAAUAUCUAGGAAGAUACUAGGAUUUGCGGCGGGAAGCCUGGGUUCGAUUCCCAGCGUCCGAA